UACGAAGGGGGGCUAGCGUUGCUCGGAAUCACUGGGCGUAAAGCGCACGUAGGCGGAUUUUUAAGUCAGGGGUGAAAUCCUGGAGCUCAACUCCAGAACUGCCUUUGAUACUGGGAAUCUCGAGUCCGGAAGAGGUGAGUGGAACUGCGAGUGUAGAGGUGAAAUUCGUAGAUAUUAGGAAGAACACCGGUGGCGAAGGCGGCCCACUGGAUCGGUACUGACGCUGAGGUGCGAAAGCGUGGGGAGCAAACAGG
rnacentral:rRNA from 1 species